AAAAGGUGUUGUUUUGUGGUUAAGGUGUGAGAAUAUUUUUUUCUACUUAUUUUAUGUCCCACAUUUUUCAGGCCCAUUGAGAAUAUUUAUGUCAAGUUAAAACAAUCUGUUGGUACCGAAUAUUGCUAGUUGUGUUACUGAAAUUAUCCUUAGACAGGAAUUGAUUUAAUUAACUUCAUAGAAAAAAUGUUUUUUUGUAAAUUGUGUGGCUUCUGUGCACACAAAUUUAUAUUGUUUAGUAUACAUGUUAGACGCCAUAAGCACAUGGCAAAUUAUAGAUAUUCAUGUGGAAUUGACACUUGUAAUGCUACUUUCACAACAUUCACUGCCUUCCGUUCCCAUAUGCACAGGAAUCAAAGAGGAAGGGAGACCACUGAGGAGGACUCAAAGUUCACAGGUGACCUCAGAUGUAAAGUUCCUGGAUAUUUUUUGUCAGGAUCAACCCUGAAGAAGGGACAAAAUGUACCUCGAAAGUUGGCACGAGCAGAAAGACGGGGAAUGUGGUCAAGCGAAAGGUUGUUCAAAUUAAUCCCCAUGUCACAACCUUCCUCCAACGGCUGACGGAAUUUGAGUGGAAAACUUCAAAUUAGAUGACCAAUCGCCUCAGUGUUCUGGGCAACACGUGAAGAAGCCACCCACCUCAGCAUCCUGCAAAUAACUGGCUGUAUAGUUUAAUUCUUUUUUGCAACUGUGUUUAUGUAUUUUUACCUCUAUGUACCACAGUUUAUUUCUACCAACACAUAAUUUGCACGUUUUGAGCUAACUCUAGAGGAGGCUCCCCCUGAUUUAUGGUGGGAUUUUUAUUUCAAUGUAAAAAGAGAAAUCAAAUUAAAAGAAAAUGAAUAUCCAGUG